rnacentral:rRNA from 1 species
UACGUAGGGGGCAAGCGUUGUCCGGAUUUAUUGGGCGUAAAGAGCGUGUAGGCGGCUUUACAGGUCCGUUGUGAAAACUCGAGGCUCAACCUCGAGACGCCGGUGGAAACCGUAAGGCUAGAGUCCGGAAGAGGAGAGUGGAAUUCCUGGUGUAGCGGUGAAAUGCGCAGAUAUCAGGAAGAACACCCGUGGCGAAGGCGGCUCUCUGGGACGGUACUGACGCUGAGGAGCGAAAGCAUGGGGAGCGAACAGG